CUGGACGAAUGCGGGAACGUUGCGAUAUUUCCUGCUUAAUAUUUUCAGAUAUGGGAAAAGCACUUAAGAUGACCCCACGUUUCAGGAACGUUAAAAUUAAGUUGGUGAGGAGGUCUAUCGCUGGCCCUGCGAAGUUUUCUUACCUCAGUCAAGGUCUUCCCCAGCCCAGCUACAAACAGACCCACUCUUCAGACCCUUCUAUUACAUCUCAACCGGCUGAACCUGAUGAUGUGACACAGAGCUGUUCUGAGAGCGCAUACAGUAAGGCAAAGAAGAGAGAGCUUCAUGCCUGGGAUGCAGUCUAGGAUGAGAUGCUUAAGGUGUCGUUUGAAUGUUCAGCACAGAUCACUACCCAGUGUGCUGUCUGCCGAGAACAUGCUGAUUAUAGGUGCAUUGAGUGCAGCUCCACUGCAGUGUUCUGUGAGGUUUGCCUGAAGAGGAUUCACAGAAAUUCACUGCAUCUUCCUGAAAAGUGGAAUAAUGUUUACUAUGAGCCAUCCUCCCUGGGGUUAUUCUCAUAUUUACCUGAAGGCCAUGGCACCCAUGCUGUG